rnacentral:rRNA from 1 species
UACGGGGGGGCAAGCGUUGUUCGGAAUUACUGGGCGUAAAGGGCUCGUAGGUGGCCAACUAAGUCGGACGUGAAAUCCCUCAGCUUAACUGGGGAACUGCGUCCGAUACUGGAUGGCUUGAGUUUGGGAGAGGGAUGCGGAAUUCCAGGUGUAGCGGUGAAAUGCGUAGAUAUCUGGAGGAACACCGGUGGCGAAGGCGGCAUCCUGGACCAACACUGACACUGAGGAGCGAAAGCCAGGGGAGCAAACGGGAUAGAUACCU